GACGAACGCUGGCGGCGUGCCUAAUACAUGCAAGUUGAGCGAUGAAGAUUGGUGCUUGCACCAAUUUGAAGAGCAGCGAACGGGUGAGUAACGCGUGGGGAAUCUGCCUUUGAGCGGGGGACAACAUUUGGAAACGAAUGCUAAUACCGCAUAAUAACUUUAAACAUAAGUUUUAAGUUUGAAAGAUGCAAUUGCAUCACUCAAAGAUGAUCCCGCGUUGUAUUAGCUAGUUGGUGAGGUAAAGGCUCACCAAGGCGAUGAUACAUAGCCGACCUGAGAGGGUGAUCGGCCACAUUGGGACUGAGACACGGCCCAAACUCCUACGGGAGGCAGCAGUAGGGAAUCUUCGGCAAUGGACGAAAGUCUGACCGAGCAACGCCGCGUGAGUGAAGAAGGUUUUCGGAUCGUAAAACUCUGUUGGUAGAGAAGAACGUUGGUGAGAGUGGAAAGCUCAUCAAGUGACGGUAACUUCCCAGAAAGGGACGGCUAACUACGUG
rnacentral:rRNA from 1 species